CUCUUCCCUCCUGAGACCGGAUCAGAGUGGGGCGAGUUCGCCUGGCGCGGUUGCCUCGGACCGAUCACGGGGCGGGAGGUGCUUGGGCCGCCGGUCGGCUAGCUGGCUUCUCUAAUGGCAAAGGUGAUUCAGCCUUAUCCAGGACGCGCAAACUUCGUGCUCGUCGGAUCGGCUCUGUUUUAUUUUCUAGGAGCCACCAGAUCCCUGCCAGCCACGCCCAGAUCCAGAAAAGAUCCAGUUAAGAGUUAAAGAACAACUGUGCCUCUGAGCACAUUAUGAGUCUAGGAAUUCGUUUCACGCGAAAAAGUCCACGCCUGGCUAGGUUUCUUCGCUCUACAUGCCAAAUUUAGGGGGGGGGGUGUAUUCUUCUUGUUGCUGUUUAAGCAGCUGGGUGUCAGAAACCAUUCCCAAUCUUUUAACAAGUCACCCCAGGCAUCAACAAGUCGAUCUAGCUUCUGCCCACCCCUAAUUAUUUUUUUUGUCUUGUUGGCAUCCGUCUGCCUCGAGAGACACGCCUAGGCAGUGUGUAUGGAGGUUCUGAGCUAGCCAGACUUUUUAAAUAUUUAUAUUUUACUAAGGUGACUUAAGUUAAAAGAAAUAAAGUGAUACAGGGGGAAGAAAAGAAGGAAGUGACAGGGAGAAAAACAACAGCAGCAAAGAUGCGUAUAAAAUUUAUAUGCCAAAAAAAGCAAUAUACAAUAUUCCUGUACAUUCUUGUAUAAAUUGGUAUAGUGUUCUUGUCCUAGUGCUUAUGUAAAUGUUAAUAGCCUACUACAUUUUGUAUACUCAUUCCAAGUGUUAUCAUAUUUUUCCUUACAGAAUCAGUGGCUGUAAGCAGUCCGUUCAUAAAUUGCCAGUGAUGUUAUAUCAUUAGUCCAUUGACUGAAGGGUAUCAUAUCUUUAUUUUUCCAAUUCCUCAAUAUCAAUCUCUUGGCCACCAUUAGAACAAGGAAAAUCCAUUUCCGUUGUCCCGUUGAUAAUUUCCAUACUGCUGGUAUAUAGUUCAAUAGAAUAUUCUCUGCUGAAAUAUUUAACUUUUUCUGCACAGUCAGCCCUUUCUCCCAAAACUUGUUAAGUAAAGAACACUGUACAAACAUGUGUUUCAGAGAGGCAUUGUUCUGGGCUACCCAGAUGACAAGACCCCUCCCCCCUUCUCAGCCUUGCUGAUGUGGUCUGAAGGAAAGCAGAACAAUAUAUUUGGAACCACCUUGAAUUUAUCUGCCAUCUCCAAUACAGUACAGCAAGAAAUCAAUAGUGCUUGCUUCUGAAUAAGCUACAUACACUGGAUCUAGCUGCAAGUUUUAUUUCAGUCUGGUCAGUGCUGAAUCAGUUAAAAGUAGAGGUGACCAAGACUCAGCUGUCAGAACCAUGCAGUUAAUCCUAGGAGGACAGUAGUGAGAGCCAAACACUGCAAAGAGUAGAGGCAUUUUUUAGACAGAGAAACCUCCAGAUAAUACUAAAGCAGAAUAGGUCACUGGGUCAGCAUUUAAAGUACUGCUGAAUGAGCUGACCUUGCUUGCCAAAUACAGUGGUUCCAUGACAAAUGGAUCGAUGUGGAAAGAGUUCCCUGAGGGUAGAAGUUUGAAUGCCACUGUGAUCAAUCAAAGCAAAGCAUUUUUAAAAUUAAGACCUGAAAAGCCUGAGGUAUUGGAUCAAAACCUGAGUUACUAAAUCAAUGUUCCCUGCAAGACAUAGCUCCAUUGUUAGCAAGAUAAUUUCAUUUUGUGGAUUGAAACAAGUGGGCUUCAGUCUGCAAAAGCUUGUGCUGCAAUAAAUCUGUUUGUCUUUAGGGUGCCGCAAGACUCCUUUUCGAUUUCAUGAUAAGAAAGGCAUUCACUGAUAGUGAUCAGAAGUUUAAAAUGGAGCAGACAAAGUCCCUGAAGCAAAGCAAUAGGAAGCAUUGCAAUGUUUUUUGCUUUUUUAGCACACCAUUUGAAAUAUGAUUUGAGUGGCGCUGUGGUCUAAACCACUGAGCCUAGUGAGCUCCUGUUGCUCGGUCCCAGCUCCUGCCAACCUAGCAGUUCGAAAGCACAUCAAAGUGCAAGUAGAUAAAUAGAUACCACUGUGGCGGGAAGUUCAACGGCGUUUCCGUGCACUACUCUGGUUUCGCCAGAAGCGGCUUAGUCAUGCUGGCCAUAUGACCCGGAAAGCUAUCUGCGGACAAACGCCGGCUCCCUCGGCCAGUAAAGCGAGAUGAGCGCCGCAACCCCAGAGUCGUUCGCGACUGGACUUAACUGUCAGGGGUCCUUUACCUUUACCUUUAUACAUCUAUAGCUACCCCCGUUUUCAUGAUUUGGACUUUACAAUGGAUGAAGAAAUGGAGACUCCCAAGAUUAAAAUAAAGAACUAGGCAGGGCAAUUCUAUAGCCUCAAUACUAGAGUGGUACCUUUGCUAACUGAAGAUCAGCACAACUUACAGUACAGCACAAUCCUAACCAUGUCUAUUCAAGAAGUUCUCUUGAAUUUAAUAGGGCCAACUCUUAGGUAAAUGGAGUUAGGAUUGCAAUAUGCUGUACUUGCCCAGCAGAAAAGUUGAGAAGGAAAACACUACAAAAAGCAGAGAAUGGGAACAUGCUUCCGCAGGCUUCCAAAACUCAUGCAAAGGCCUGGGCUGCAAGAGUUCUCUCCUGACUAUAUAUUGAGGUCAUCUAACAAAGCCAUGCAAAGAUUGGUUAUGGAACUCCCUUCCCCUGGAUAUGUGCCCAGAACCUGAAUAUCAACUGGAAGCACUUGAGAAUAUUUUCAUUUGGGCUGGCUUUUACCCAAGCCUGAGUCCUAAAAGACCAUGCAGUCUUCCGAGGGAAAUUGGUGCUUCAGGAAAAACAUUAUCUCAUUCAAAGCUGCAAAUGCUAAUAAUGUAAUGUAAAGGGUUUUCAAAUCAAGUUCCAGUUUUCACCAGCAGAGGACAAUUCAUCCCCUUUCAACUCCCCUCUCUCACAAGAGGCAACAGCUUGUAGAUAUGCAUUGUUGCAAAGGAAAUUGGCGUGGGCAUGUCCUGGCUGGCAUCGUGGCAUCUGGGGAAUGAGUUGGACCUUCGAAGCCAGGGGUAUAUCCUGUAACUUGAGGAAGCACAAACUCACUGAGAAUGCAGAUCCAGUGAUUUGGGAGUCUGUGGGAGCAGCUUGGAAAUUUGGCUGCCUUUGCAGAGCAAGGAACAAUAUUUUCCGCUCUUUUGGACACAAAAUCUUCCCUACUACAUUUCUGCUUGGGAUUUCAUUAGAUUCAGCCAGGUGUGUUUCCUCAAUCCCCCAGACAACCCACUUCCUUCCACGUGUUGGAGUUUCACAGCAGAAUCUAGGACAUAGCUGGACUGGAAUAAGCUGUAGAAUUGGGCCCUUACUGCAACUAAAAUAUCUAAGGAUUCUUGGACAUAGCAGGUGGGUAGCAUAAGACUACACUUCCCAAGAAGAAGGUACUGUACAUGCAAAGUGUUUAACAGUAUGCUCAGUACAGUAAAAAAGGUAAAAGUAAAGGACCCCUGGACAGUUAAGUCCAGUCAAAAGCGACUAUCGGGCUGUAGCGCUCAUCUUGCUUUCUGGCCAAGGAAGCCGGUGUUUGUCCGCAGACAGCUUUGGGCAGCAUGACUAAACCACUUCUAGUGCAACGGAACACUGAUAGAAAGCAGAGCACACGGAAACACCGAUUACCUUCCCCCCACAAUGGUACCUAUUUAUCUACUUGCAUUGGCAUGCUUUCAGACUGCUAGGUUGGCAGAAGCUGGGACAGAGCAAUGGGAGCUCAUCCCGUCGCAGGCAUUUGAACCACCUUCUGAUUGGCAAGCCCAAGAGUCUCAGUGGUUUAGACCACAGUGCCACCCACAUCCCUUAGUCAGCAUAGUAAACACAUGCAGUAUAGUCAUACACAUGUCUAUUCAGAAGCCCUAUUCAGUUCAAUUGGACUUCUAGUUAAGAGGGCGUAAGAUUGAAGCCUAAAACAUUGCUAAUCUUAUGAUUUAACAGAGUAACCCUAGCUAUGUCUACUCAGAAGUAAAUCUGAUUGAAUUUAAUGAGGCCUUCUCUCAGGUAAGUGGGAUUAGGUUUGCAGCCUUAGCCUGAAAUCAGAAUGGCAGAAACAGGGCUGGUUGGAAAAUUAUUUUGGAGGAAGCGGACUUGCUUAUGAAAACAUAAGAUGGAUGAAUUUCUGGCCAGUUACUGAUUUGGGAAUGGCAGUGAAAUGUACCAAGAACUUGGGUUGCAGAAGGACAUCUCAGGUUCUUAACUAUAAAUGUGUACUUUCCACAUUUUGGAAGAGGAACACACCACAAGUCCAGAUUCUGAAGUAAUGGUAAACCAGUCUUACUGUGCCUAUGUGUAUUUCUGCAAGGUGGCUGGAAAAUCGGGAGGAAUGAAGAGGCAGUGAGUUUUGCUCUUAAUACCUGCUUGCUCAUUCACGCUAAACUAUGGUUUGGCUUAGCACUACAUGGGAACUGGGCCAUUGAGAAACUAAGCCUUUGGGAGGAAACUAGAGGAUGGCAAAUCAUGAUCAGAUCUCUCUUUACAUUUUUUGUAAAAAGAUGCCACAAUUUGGUCUGUUGACAGCAGUGCUGGGGCUGGGGAGAUUGAAGCUCGCAGCCUAUAUUUCUGAUGAAAAAUGAACACACACAAACCAGAUUUAGGGAAUACUUCUACGUCCCAUAAAUUUAGUCAGGUGUGGUGUGCUGGGUCACACACACAGCCACCGAGAAACAACUUGAUCAUCAUCCAAGCCUGGCUCCCUUGUUUAAUAUGUCGUGGCGGUCCAUUUCCCCUUUGCAGAUUUUGGAUGGUGUGCAGAACCCCUUUUACAUAUGGUUCAGAAGCUGAGCUACAGUUAUGAAGACUUGUAAGAACCUAGAAGUAAGGAAGUUUCUACCAAAAAAUAUAAUGAUGAUGGCUUUCUAACCAAGUGAAAUGCUCAAGGCUAUACAUGAAGUUAGCAGCCAAGUCCCACCAAAUGCCAGCCUUUGCCCAGAUCCAACAGCCGUAGAAUCCACAUGCCUUUAUUCAGGUUUCGGACUUCUGAUUAUAGACAGGGGGGAAAAGACAGCCCACGGUGAUUGCUUCUAAACCCACUCCUCUGCCCUGACCCACUAAACCCCAUUCUCUCCGAUCUGCGGAUUAAAAAGAAAAGAAAAAAGGUUAUCCUGCUCCCAUUCUCCCUUCUUUGUGAUGACUCAAUAGACUCCUCUUUCUUCUCCCCCAGAGAGCUGGCAAGAACUCAAAGCCCUCUGGCUCCCAGCCUGCUCUCCAUUCUAACCCACCAGUCGCAAACAGAACAGUAGCAGGGAGCUGGUCAUGGGUGACCCAGCCACUGUGGGACAACCCCUCCUCCUCCCAGGAUCAUGCGCCUAGUAUUACGAGUACCGGGCCCUAUGGGCCUUGGGUGCUGAGAGUUGCCUCCGACACAAAGCCCCCUCUGUUUGCUCCAGCCAGGGCCUGAGAGAAUCCAGUGUGCCUCUGAGGAAGGCGGGGGCAGAGGGCACAUUGUUUGGAGACUUGCAGGAGAUCGCAACAUUUGGACAUUAUUACCCAUCUCCCAAGGUGGGGGGGUGGGGGAGCAAUGCCCUGCAAGUGAAAAAUCAGCACCGAGGAGGGCCCGAUUCUGUCUGCAGUGGAGGAAAAAGCAGAGAAACUUGGGGCACCUUAAAGAUCAACACAUUUAUUACGUGCUCGAAUCCGCAAGAAGCUCAUGCCCUAUGUUAAUCUUUCAGAUGCCGAUCAGAAGAUUCUUUGUCGGUUUUGCUGCAAAAGAUUAAUAUGGCUGCUGUCCCCUGUGGAAAUUAAAGGAAUGAGACCGCGGUGGUCUAGGGGAGACUCUGUAAGAGUCUGGAGCGUCUAAAGGGAAUGAGGGACUAGUGGAUCAGCGUGACUGGAAGCUAAUAAGGAAAGCAGCAGA